CCAGACUCCUACGGGAGGCAGCAGUGGGGAAUAUUGCACAAUGGGGGAAACCCUGAUGCAGCAACGCCGCGUGAGUGAAGAAGUAUUUCGAUAUGUAAAGCUCUAUCAGCAGGGAAGAAAUAGCGACCUUUGGGUCGCCAGACGGUACCUGAUUAAGAAGCCCCGGCUAACUACGUGCCGGCAGCCGCGGUAAUACGUAGGGGGCAAGCGUUAUCCGGAUUUACUGGGUGUAAAGGGAGCGUAGACGGCAGCGCAAGUCUGAAGUGAAAUGCCGGGGCUUAACCCCGGAACUGCUUUGGAAGCUGUGCAGCUAGAGUGCAGGAGAGGGAAGUGGAAUUCCUAGUGUAGCGGUGAAAUGCGUAGAUAUUAGGAGGAACCCCAGUGGCGGAGGCGGCUUACUGGACGGUAACUGACGUUGAGGCUCGAAAGCGUGGGGAGCAAACAGGAUUAGAUACCCCGGUACGC
rnacentral:rRNA from 1 species